ACAAACUGACAGAUUUUUCAUUUCCAGAAUGCAAAGAUCACCAAAGGCGAACAUCAACAGGUGUGAAAUUCACCUUCAUCAUUGAAGCGUUCACACCCUUUGAUACACGACCCCUGGACACUCUGCUGCCUCAUUUGAAAUGAAAAACCAGUUAGAAUGUGGGAGAAAUACAUGCUCCAGGAUGCCAUCCCUAAACCCAGAGCUGGGAGGAGAGACACAGCGGCAUCUCCUUGGACGGUGUUCUCACUAUGCAGCCACGGCCUGUGUCAGUCGCCUCCAGAACCCUCCAUCACCGGACAACGCGCAACCGCGAGGGUUUCUCUACGCAACUCACAGAACAGACCAUCUUUGAGACACGAGUAUGCCAAACAAGACACGGAAGCACUCACUGUUCUUGUGUCACAUGUUUCUUGCUGGCCCCCGAGAGCGACGACGAUGAAAUGACGGAUCAAGCCCAUCACAUCACCAUCACUGACUCCCGAGUUGGAAAGAUAAAGCACAGAACAGCAUUCUGGGUUCUCACGUCUGCCCACUCUCUUCCCCUCUUGGUCUCCUACCUGUCUCCUUUCUGUGCCGGUUGUCAGUUGAAAAUGCCUCUGGUCUUCCUCUCCUGCCUUCCGUGAAGUCAAUAAAAAGCAAGAGGGGGCAUGCAGAGCGAGGACGAUCCUGUCCGUGCUGGCCUCAGUUAUGGAAUCCGUUUAAGCCCAAGUGUGAGGGAUGAGCACUGCGUGUUAACACUAAUGAGUUGUUGAGCGCUACAUCAAACACUAAUGGUGUACUGUGUGUUGGCUAAUUGAACAUCAUA
ensembl:lincRNA uncharacterized LOC101684146